CAAUAGCGUAUAUUAAAGUUGUUGCAGUUAAAAAGCUCGUAGUUGGAUUUGUGGCGUACGGUGUGUUCCGGGCACUUGUUGUCUGAGUAACCUGCUGUUGCCAUCCUUGGGUGGAACCUGUGUGGCAUUAGGUUGUCGUGCAGGGGAUGCCCAUCAUUUACUGUGAAAAAAUUAGAGUGUUCAAAGCAGGCUUAUGCCGUUGAAUAUAUUAGCAUGGAAUAAUGAGAUAGGACUUUUUUGCUAUUUUGUUGGUUUGCGCAAAGAGGUAAUGAUUAAUAGGGACAGUUGGGGGUAUUCGUAUUCCAUUGUCAGAGGUGAAAUUCUUGGAUUUUUGGAAGACGAACUACUGCGAAAGCAUUUACCAAGGAUGUUAUCAUUAA
rnacentral:rRNA from 1 species